rnacentral:rRNA from 1 species
CAGUCGCCGCGGUAAUACAGAGGGUGCGAGCGUUAAUCGGAUUUACUGGGCGUAAAGCGUGCGUAGGCGGCUAAUUGAGUCGGAUGUGAAAUCCACGAGCUUAACUUGGGAAUUGCAUUCGAUACUGGUUAGCUAGAGUGUGGGAGAGGAUGGUAGAAUUCCAGGUGUAGCGGUGAAAUGCGUAGAGAUCUGGAGGAAUACCGAUGGCGAAGGCAGCCAUCUGGCCUAACACUGACGCUGAGGUACGAAAGCAUGGGGAGCAAACAGGAUUAGAUACCCCUGUAGUCCCUGUCUCUUAUAC